AAAGGUAAAUGGGUCAAAUAAC
rnacentral:siRNA from 1 species